AGCCACGCCUGAAACGACAGCCUGCAGGAGGAUUUAGAUGAAAUGCAAACCCAGUGAUUUGGGUGAAGUCGGACAGUCUGUUGUGUCUGAUCGUCGGUGUGAGUUGUUUGUAAAGUAUGUGUUUUCUCCCCACUUGUCUGUCUGUCCGUCGCAGUAUCCUCCCCCCCUCUUCAACCUCUUGUUGAUAUCGAAAGUGAAAGAAGGUCGUAGCUGAAUAACCAGAUGGGCUGCUCGGUAUGUACCUUCGUGUUGCACUACAUACUUAAACAAACAGUCACCGUGUGUUAUUGUACCUUGAGAGUCAUAGUGUGCACGUGGCUACCGCUUUACGGUGGGUUCAUUGUUGUCUUCGCUGACUUAUUUAAACUUAUUUUGUAGUCGCUGGUAACGGAGGAUCGAGAGGCUGCGUGGCUUUCCAUGACACCCAAACGCACCAGCUGCAUUCACUGGUUCUCGUGUUUAAUGUACUGGGGUUUUACUCAUUGCUGUGUUUGUUUUUGCUGGAAAUUCCCUUUUUAUGUUGAAGUUUCACCAUGUAGCUGCCAUGCAAAUUUAGAAUCUGCUUUCUUAUUGUGAUGUUCGUGUCGGGCUUCCAUACUGCCUUUUUACUGAAGUGGAAGUAUAAAUACCACAGUAUAGAAAUGCCACAUGUAGUAAAAGUCCUGCAUUUCCUAUUGUGCAUGAGUAGAAACUAAACUUUAUUUAUUUAUUGAAGUAUUGGCAGCAAAAUAAAAAAAGUACUUGUUCUGCAGCAGAAUGGCCUCUUUCAGAGUGUUGUAUUAUUGUAUUAUUCUCACUGAUGCAUGAAUGUGUAAGCAGCUUUAUAGUCUUAUAUCUAGUUGAUGAGGAGCUAAUGAAAAAUUAAACUACUGCACGUUUAUUUUCUAAUAAUCAUCACAGUGUCAUAUUUUAAAGACUGAUAUGUGUUGUAGCCCUGUUUAAAAUAAAAACCUGAAAAGUAACACUACUUACAUCCGCUGUAUACAUUAGUAGUGGAUUAUUAGUAGUACAUUUCAAAACAAUUUCCUCUGCCAUCGUUAUUAGCUAAUAAGACUGUAUCAAAAUACAUGCAAAACCCUCAGAAACUAGCCUUGGGCCUGCUUGCUGUCUCUUAACGUCUGCUGUAUCUCAUGUGCUUCAGCAGGCUGAAUCCGUACAUCAGGAAAACAAACCGGUAAUCUUAAAAAUGACAUUAUGAAUCAUGACCUCGUUGAAAUGUUCAGAGAGAAACUAGACAACUUCACCAUCUCAGAUUACCAUGGCCUGAACAGUCCAGGUCUCACAUGCUAUUUGAACAGCGUUCUCCAGGUGCUGUUCAUGACCGAAGACUUCCGGGAGGCUGUGAAACGAUGCUGCAGUGAAGAUUCAACAACCAUUGACCCACAGCUGAGAAGACUAUUUGCUGAUUUACAGAAAAGGACGGCGAAAACAAAAUACCUCACAGAAACACUGGGGAUCACAAACGUAUACGAGCAACGGGAUGCAGCCGAAUAUUUUGAGAAGAUUUUGAGUUUGACCAGUCCAGCGGCAGCCAAGAUAUUCAAGGGAGAGCUGAAUCACAGGACCACAUGCCUUAAGUGCGAAGAGAGGAACGAUUCCAGGGGCUUUUUUUGGAUUCUGCCGCUUGCGGUGGAAGAUUUGCGUCGUCAAACCUACAGCGUGGAAAAUGGGUUGAAGGCAUUCUUUAAGGGAGAAAAGGUCUGCGGGGACAACAAAGUGUACUGCAGCCGCUGCGAUAAAAAGCGAGAUGCAGACUUUGAAUGUGAGAUGACACAGAGUCCAGAGAUUUUGACCCUCCUGCUGAAGAGAUUCAGCUUUGACUACAAGUGCAGGUGUUACGUGAAGCUUCACUGCAACGUGGAUGUCCCCAAAACCUUACACAUAGAGAGUUGUAAAUACGACCUCUACGCUUUAGUUAACCACUUCGGUAAUCUAACAGGAGGUCAUUACACUGCACAAAUCAAGUCUUUCGAAACUCACGUGUGGUAUCACUUCAAUGACGACAUUGUUAACCGGGUCAUACCACCGCUGUUUGGGGCUGGAAAUAACUCUUUGAGGUCUCGUACAGCUUACCUCCUCAUGUACAGGAAGGUUAUCAGACAUACUGAAAAACCUGAUGAAGGCAACCAGCAGUCUCUCUGCACACAUGCAGAUGUUGAUGCUGAAGGAAGACGUGACGAGACGGAGAGAGGAGAGGCCGUCGUACCGGAUCUACUGAAGGAUGAAAGCUGCAACGGAGGGGGAAACUUGAAGCGCUCGAAUGUCGACAAAUUAAAGAAGAGCCAUGACGAUACGGUUUGGAAGAAAUAAGCAAACUUUUCUUGGGAACCGAACGAACAGCGAGACCCGAGAGCAGCAUGCGUGAGGCCGCACAAAGAGAUGUUACUUCAAACAUGCACUGGAGCAGAUGGAGAGGGCUACGGGCCACGUGGGCAAACACAAGAGUCACAUUUUGCAAAGCUACAAAAAGAUGGUAAUGAUAGUAGCCUGACAAGAAAUAGAGUCAAACCUGCAGAAGAUGACGUUUUUAAAAACAAAAGGGAGACACUAGCAGAGGUAAAAGGAAAUAGAGCUAAACAGAAAAGAGAGGCGUGUGUCAGUGUGAAUGUGUGUGAUUCUGAUCUAAAGUCACCUUCAUACCCGACAAGAGACUUGCAGCAGCUAUGUAGCAUGCACGAACCCGUUGGGCUCCGUUGGGCCCCCGUUUCAUCGAACAAAUGCCUAAAAUCAAUCAGUCCAAAGAGAGACAAGGAGAAAAUGCAGCAUGUUGUGACGGCGGACGGCAGCUGCAGACUGGCGACCACACAGACUGUGACAAGGGGAGAAAUAGCUGCAAGUGGCAGAGCGAGAAGAAAGGCUGCAGAGAGCAAGGACACAUUUUUAAAAAAGCCAUGGAGGUGAAGAAUGAAUACGGAUAAGUGAUACGUGAAUUGUCACUUGGAAUAGCUUAUAUGUGACUGUGGUCAGUGGUGUUUUGUUUUGAUUUCAGAUGGAUAAAUGUCACCAUUUCAUUGUUUUAGGAAGCUACAUGCACUUGCAGUAUUUGGAUAAACAUCGACUUAUGUCAGUGGGUUUAUAAGGAUUAUGAUUUUUUGCACUUGUAAGGGCGUUUAUAACUGAGUGUCCCGCCCGAAACCUCUGCAAAUGAUUGUGCUUUUCCACUAAACCUACUUUGUGUGUUUUCUGAGUGUGUUUUGUUUUGCACCUCAGGGCUCCAGCUCCUUUUGUGUGGAACUAUCCUUUAAAACCAAGGAUCAGAAGAGAAGAAUGUGGAAUGUGGAAUCUUACACACGUCAGUCAUUAUUUAUAUAAGAUCAUGGGAGCGGCUAAUACCACAGAAGCGACUAGAAAGCUCUUCAUUAAAGACGCGGGUGAUAAACUUAUCACGGAGAUCGAGCUGCGUGACUCAGAGUAUGAGGGCUUCACGGUGCUGCAGCUGAAGACGAAGAUACGGGAGAAAACGGGAAACCCAGAAUACCUGACCGGACUGAUCUAUGGAGGCAAUCUGCUGGAAGACGGCCGUACCCUGUUUAAAUAUGGAUUCAGGCACAAGUCAACCAAGGACUGGACACUAAGUCCUUGGUGGGGAUUGAUGGAUCCUGAGGAGGGAGAUGGUGGAAUGGGUGACAAGGGGGGCACAAACAGAAGUAUGGAAAAGCUCUCUUUUUUUUAAACCUACUCUGAAUUAGAAUAAGACAUCAGAGCUGCACUUUUAACAGUUUGCUCAUGAACCACUGUGCUGUGAUUUUGGUGUAAAUAGAAACCUAAUCUCCUGUAAUAGUGUCUGCUGUUUGAUGUACAGAGAAAGUAGAAGGGUGUGCCUUGAACUAGCUUUUAAUCUGGUUCAAACUGGUGUAAUAAUGUAAUAUGUUUCCCCAUUAUGAGAAUAAUAUUGCAUUAAAGUAAGCUAAAUAUAUUGUAGAAUAAUGUAAUAAAUUCAGCACAUAGUAUAAUCAUUUAAAAAUACUCUCCUUAAAGCAAAGGGACCCUUCUAGUUUUACAUGACAUACAUGGAGUCUAUAAUUUAUUGAGAACAUGGAUUAGUUUCCAGUACGCAGGAAACCACUCCAUGUUAACGACUGAAGUCAGGGAUCAGACAUCAGCUGGAGAAGUGAAAUCAGAGACACCUCCACUUCCUCAACCAGCAGCAGCAGAGUCGUCUCCACAAGGAUUAAUACUGAGGACCUCCUACCAGACAACAAAAGAAGGCACACAGAUGAACUGCUAAAUGUUCUCGUCACGUCAGCAAAAUGUUGUUUAUUUUUCUUUUACUGUUGUAUUAAGUGAUGUGUAACCAACUGACAUGGCUGCAAACUAUUAACCAGUUUACACAAAUAAUUUGCAAUAAUCCAGUUUGCUUUUCAGUCCCACAUGUCUGCAUGCAGCAGCACAAUGUUAGAUGUGCACUCUGCAGUGGUUAAAGUCAGUGUGUGUUUUAUUUUCCUGUAAUGACUACAGUGUCUCUCCAUGUAAUAUUCUGUUCUCUUAUUUGUUGGACUUGCAGCGGUUCAACAGGCCUUUUUCACAGCAGACAUUUUGACUUGUCCAAAGUAUGAAAAGCACAGGUCUCACUAAUGACACUAACGAUGGCUCUGUUCUGUUCAAGUGUCCCAGUGAGAGAGAGCCAGCAUGCACAAUACAGGAUCCUGAAAUCAGAGCAGCUAAAUGGAAUUCAGCCAUCGUUCAUUUAAUCAUUUACACCUGUGAUUUUCCUAAUGUCUCAACCUCACCACCAAGCUCCUCAGGACAACAGUGCCAUAAUAUUGCCAUCGAUGUCACGAUGAAAUUCAAAUAAUCUGUCCAGUCAUGAUCUUGUAUCUAUCCUCUUACACUUUCGCUCUUGGUGUCGUUUCUUUCGGA